UAAACCUAAAGGCGCAAUGAAAGUGAAGGUCCCGCCUCGUGCGGACCGAGGGAAGAUGGGCCGCGCUGCUGUGCGGCUCCGCAUUCCCGGGGCGUCUCGUUCUCAUUGCGAGUUGAGGCGCACCCAGAGCGUACACGUUGGGACCCGAAAGAUGGUGAACUAUGCCUGGCCAGGACGAAGUCAGGGGAAACCCUGAUGGAGGUCCGUAGCGAUUCUGACGUGCAAAUCGAUCGUCGGAGCUGGGUAUAGGGGCGAAAGACUAAUCGAACCAUCUAGUAGCUGGUUCCCUCCGAAGUUUCCCUCAGGAUAGCUGGUGCUCGAACGAGUCUCAUCCGGUCAAGCGAAUGAUUAGAGGCCUUGGGGCCGAAACGACCUCAACCUAUUCUCAAACUUUAAAUGGGUGAGAUCUCCGGCUUGCUUAAAACAUUUUUGAAGCCGCGAGAUUAAUUUUCUUGGAUCGGAGUGCCAAGUGGGCCACUUUUGGUAA
rnacentral:rRNA from 1 species